UGUGUCUAUGAUGCUUUUUCUUUACCUACAUUUUGAUUUUCUAAAUGAUAAAAAUGUUCACAGACUGAGACAUGA
ensembl:snoRNA SNORD34 Small nucleolar RNA SNORD34